GACGAACGCUGGCGGCGUGCUUAACACAUGCAAGUCGAGCGGUAAGGCCCUUUCGGGGGUACACGAGCGGCGAACGGGUGAGUAACACGUGGGUGACCUGCCCUCAGCUCUGGGAUAAGCCUGGGAAACCGGGUCUAAUACUGGAUAUGACUCCAUGACGCAUGUUGUGGGGUGGAAAGCCUUGUGCGGCUGAGGAUGGGCCCGCGGCCUAUCAGCUUGUUGGUGGGGUGANGGCCUACCAAGGCGACGACGGGUAGCCGGCCUGAGAGGGCGACCGGCCACACUGGGACUGAGACACGGCCCAGACUCCUACGGGAGGCAGCAGUGGGGAAUCUUGGACAAUGGGCGCAAGCCUGAUCCAGCCAUGCCGCGUGGGUGAAGAAGGCCUGGUGUAAG
rnacentral:rRNA from 1 species